rnacentral:lncRNA from 1 species
UUAAAUUUGACUAACGACUGUCAAAUUGUUUCAAGUUUUUUUCUUACGUUGCUCUUGAAAAGAAAUACAAAAAUUAAACAAAUUACUUAUGUGGCAAAAAAAAAUAAUAAAACUUGAAAAUGUUGGUGGGUCUCAAUGUCCAGCUCCAGAUAAGUUCAUGAGGGGUUGUCCUCCCCAACAAACUCCAAACCCAAAACCUACAGAUCCGAACAGAAAAUGGAUGGACUGGCACCAAACACCAGAUCAGAUCGACAAAACGAGUCAAGAAAAAGCAUAUCUAAAUGUAUUUACAUCAGAUCAAACUCAAAUCAGUCAAAAUCUAAAAAUAAACAUCCCCAAAUCGAACUGAUAUGAAUCUGCGAAAAAAUUGCAGCAACACCAAACUGAUUCUGCAAAAUGAAUAAAGCAACCAUCAUAAAAGAAUCAGCAAAACAACCAUCAUAAAAUCAACAUGGAUAAUCAUCAAAUUGAUUGGCCUCUAACAACUCUGCAUCACUUAGUCGGAGUUAGAUUGACAUUAAAUUGAGUAAAAUGGAUCAACCAUUUCUUGAAAAAUGAAGAAAAGAUUGUUGUACUUGAUUGAUUUAAGGGUUUGAGGUCUUAAUGAUUUUUCAAAAGUUAAAACCUCAAAACCUUAUCAUCUUCAACCUCUAGCCGGGUCAACCCGACCCACUUACUAGUUAAACAGGCCUUCAACAAGAAAAUAAUAAUCAAAAUCUCAAAACAUAUUCAUCUUCAACCUCUAAUUUCUAAUUUGGAAAAAGGGAUAUAAAUAUAUAACUCAAUUUGUGGCUUACCAUGUGAAUCAAGAGCUCAUAACUUUGACAUUAAUUUACCUAACCCAUAUGCAUGUGUAGGAUCGAAGGGAAGUGAUCGAGAACAAAUCUGACUCUCAUUGAAGUUUAGAACAGGAAUAUAUACACUCACCUUCAAUUUGCCAUAAAACUAACAUUAACGGUAAUCUUUGAACCCUGGGUAUUUGAGAAGGAUGAAGAUGAUAAGAGAGAGAAAAAAGUAACAAAAACCAAGUCUUUUUUAUUUUCUUUUUUCUUUUUUGUUUUUCCAUUCACGUAGGGGAAAAAAUUUGAAACAAUU